rnacentral:rRNA from 1 species
CCUACGGGAGGCUGCAGUGGGGAAUAUUGCUCAAUGGCCGUAAGGCUGAACCAGCCCCGUCGCGUGGAGGAAGAAGGAUCUCUGGUUUUUAAACUUCUUUUAUAGGGGAAUAAAGGUAUCCACGUGUGGAUAUUUCCCUGUCCCCUUUCAAUACACAUCCGCUAACUCCGUGCCAGCAGCCGCGGUAAUACGGAGGGUGCGAGCGUUAUCCGGAUUUAUUGGGUUUAAAGGGUGCGUAGUUUGUUUUGUAAGUCAGAGGUGAAAGUUUGUGGCUCAACCAUAAAAUUGCCGUGGAAACUGGAAGGCUUGAGUGUGUUUGAGGUAGGCGGAAUGCGUGGUGUAGCGGUGAAAUGCAUAGAUAUCACGAAGAACACCGAUGGCGAAGGCAGCUUACUAAGCGAUAACUGACACUGAGGCACGAAAGCGUGGGGAGCAAACAGGAUUAGAUACCCGUGUAGUC